GAUGAACGCUGGCGGCGUGCCUAAUACAUGCAAGUCGAGCGAACAGACGAGGAGCUUGCUCCUCUGACGUUAGCGGCGGACGGGUGAGUAACACGUGGAUAACCUACCUAUAAGACUGGGAUAACUUCGGGAAACCGGAGCUAAUACCGGAUAAUAUAUUGAACCGCAUGGUUCAAUAGUGAAAUACGGCUUUGCUGGCACUUCUCGAUGGAUCCCGGCCGCAUUAGCUAGUUGGUAAGGUAACGGCUUACGAAGGGAACGAUGCGUAGACGACCUGCGAGGGUGGUCGGCCACACGGGAACUGAGACACGGUCCAGAGUCCUACGGGAGGCAGCAGUAGGCAAUCUUCCGCAAUGGGCGAAAGCUUGACGGAGCAGCGCCGCGUGAGUGAUGAAGGUCUUCGGAUCGUAAAACUCUGUUAUUAGGGAAGAACAAAUGUGUAAGGAACUAUGCACGUCUUGACGGUACCUAAUCAGAAAGCCACGGCUAACUACGUG
rnacentral:rRNA from 1 species